CUCCCGCCCCGCGUUCCCCGCCCACCUUGUCUCAUCCACGUCUUAGGACAGCGGAAGCUGCGGUUCCCUGGAGUCACCGUUAUGGUUCCGGGAAGCACUGCGAGGCACCGGGCUUCGCGAUGCAGUCUCUGCUAGCUGUGGAGUAGAGGCUGCCAAGGACAACGGAAUAGCACCCUGCAUCCUCUCCCCGCAACACCUCUCCAGAAGCCUGGGAAGAGCCGGGCAGAGGCGGAAAGGACUGAUGAGGGGAGGAGACCACUCCACCACACCCCGGGUUGAAUCAUGAAAAUGCUGAUAAUUGGCUUACAGAGAUGGCGAUUUCAUAUGAUUCAAACUAAUAUGCAUUUCCGUGUCCUGGCUUCCAGUACCUCAGAAUGUGAGUGCAUUUGAAGACAGGACCAUUAAAGAGGUAAAACGGAGUCAUUAAGGGUGGGCCCUAAUGCUAUAUGAUUGGUGUCCUUAUAAAAAGAGGAGAUUAGAACACAGAUCAUGUGAGGACUCUGUGAGAAGGCCGCUGUAUACAAGCCAAGGAGAGAGGCUUCAGGGGAAGCCAAACGUGCCCACACCUUGAUUUUG